rnacentral:rRNA from 1 species
GGGCUCGAACUCCGAUGCUCUAGAUUACGCGAAGAACUUACCUGGCCUUGACAUCCAGAGAACUUUCCAGAGAUGGAUUGGUGCCUUCGGGAACUCUGAGACAGGUGCUGCAUGGCCGUCGUCAGCUCGUGUCGUGAGAUGUUGGGUUAAGUCCCGUAACGAGCGCAACCCCUAUCCCUGGUUGCUAGCAGGUAAUGCUGAGAACUCCAGGGAGACUGCCGGUGACAAACCGGAGGAAGGUGGGGAUGACGUCAGGUCAUCAUGGCCCUUACGGCCAGGGCUACACACGUGCUACAAUGGCGCGUACAGAGGGCUGCCAACUCGCGAGAGUGAGCCAAUCCCUUAAAACGCGUCGUAGUCCGGAUCGGAGUCUGCAACUCGACUCCGUGAAGUCGGAAUCGCUAGUAAUCGCGAAUCAGAAUGUCGCGGUGAAUACGUUCCCGGGUCUUGUA